GGGGGCGAAAAUGGUUUCGACGGGGGUGUGGAGCUAAGAGUAGCGGGUCGUUGUCGCCAAACAACGUAAAAAGUGGCAACUAAAUAUAAACGCAAACGAUAAUUACGCAUUAGCUGCCUAAUUUAAGGCGCUCACUUACCCUAGUGGUCCUGCCCACUAGAAGUAAGUGUCAACUUAUAGCAGGGAACUACUAUAGGGGACUUCCCGACCUACAGUAGACUAAUUGGGAAUAGCUGAUUAGGGAGCCUUCUGUUGGGCGUUCUAUGAGGCGAAAUUUUAAAUACGGCAGAUACGCUCGUAGAGGCUCUUAGUAAAGUGCUUUCGGACGUGGGUUCGACUCCCACCGCCUCCACCA
rnacentral:tmRNA from 2 species